rnacentral:rRNA from 1 species
CCAGACUCCUACGGGAGGCAGCAGUGAGGAAUAUUGGUCAAUGGCCGAGAGGCUGAACCAGCCAAGUCGCGUGAGGGAUGACGGCCCUACGGGUUGUAAACCUCUUUUGUCAGGGAGCAAAGGGCGCCACGUGUGGCGCUUUGCGAGUACCUGAAGAAAAAGCAUCGGCUAACUCCGUGCCAGCAGCCGCGGUAAUACGGAGGAUGCGAGCGUUAUCCGGAUUUAUUGGGUUUAAAGGGUGCGUAGGCGGGACUUUUAAGCCGGGGGAAAAGGCCGGGGGCCCACCCCCGGCGAGCCGUUGAAACUGGCUGUCUUGAGAUGUCGAGAGGUAUGCGGAAUGCGCAGUGUAGCGGUGAAAUGCAUAGAUAUCACGCAGAACUCCGAUUGCGAAGGCAGCAUACCGGCGCGCAACUGACGCUCAUGCACGAAAGCGUGGGUAUCGAACAGGAUUAGAUACCCUAGUA